CUGUAUGUAGCUAGUAUGAAUGGGAUUCGUUCGAUGCAUGGAUCCAUCAUCAGUAGACUUCGACGUUCCAUUGCUCGCCCUUCUUGAGCUUCUUCUUGUACUCAAACCAGUCGAUCCCGUCCUUCGCUGCGAGGUCGGUCAUGAUUUCGUCGAUGCCCUUCUCCAUGCCCUUGAGCCCGCACAUGUAGACGUAGGUGUUGUCCUUCUUGAGAAGCUCCCACAGCUCCUCCUUGUACUCCGCCAUCCGCGUCUGGAUGUACAUCUUCUCCCCGGCCGCGUUCGUCUGCUCCCGGCUCACCGCAAAGUCCAGCCGGAAGUUGUGCGGAGCAAUCUCCUUCAUCUUCUCCAGCUCCUCCUUGUACAGCAGGGUGUCGCUUGUCGGAACUCCCAAGAACAGCCAAGCAAGCCCGGUGUACUGCAUAUACGGAUAUCAGUAUGUUCAUUCAUUGGAACAUAUGGUUGGUUCAUAUGGUUGGAGCACCAACUAACCUUGUAGUCGUCGUGCUCCUCGAAGAACAUCUUCCACAAGAAGGAGCGGAAGGGAGCGAUACCGGUACCCGUCGCGAGCUGCAAAUUAUAAUGACAAUAUGCAUCAGUAUCAGGACAUGUUUAAUUAAAUCAGUUCUCUUCCGAUCCAAUGCAAUUUCGAUCACCAUGAUGAUCGUUGCGUUGGGGUCUUUGGGCAUGAGCAUCUCCUUGCCGACUGGCCCUGUGAUCUUCACCUCAGAGCCGGGCUUCAGGUCGCAUAGGAAGUUUGAGCAGACUCCUUUGACGAUCUCCCCUUGAUCGUUGGUGUACACCAGCCUCUUGACGCACAGCGACACCUGCGUACAGUACAUAGCAGAUAUUGAUAUUGUAACUCCGAUCCGAUCCGAUCCUUUGGCAAUGAAGAAGAAACAACAAGGAAUUGAAACAACUCACGGUCUUGGAGUCGCCAAAGUCCCCGAUAGCGCUGCUGGCGAUGGAGUAGAGCCUGACCUUGUGCGGCUUGCCGUUCUUGUCGACGCCGUCGGCGAUGACGCCGAUGGACUGCCCCUCCCUGUAGGGUAACUCACCUUCAGUGCUGAAGACCAUGUGCCACGUCUCCCCCGGCGCGUUGUCGCCGGUGAUCCUGGUGUUGAGCAGGCACCUCCCCACGUAGGG
rnacentral:lncRNA from 1 species